rnacentral:rRNA from 1 species
UAGCUAGUUGGUGAGGUAAAGGCUCAUCAAGGCGACGAUCUGUAGCGGGUCUGAGAGGAUGAUCCGCCACACUGGAACUGAGACACGGUCCAGACUCCUACGGGAGGCAGCAGUGGGGAAUUUUGGACAAUGGGGGCAACCCUGAUCCAGCCAUGCCGCGUGAGUGAAGAAGGCCUUCGGGUUGUAAAGCUCUUUCGGCCGGGAAGGAACCGCAUGGGCCAAUACCCUGUGCGGAUGACGGUACCGGCAUAAGAAGCACCGGCUAACUACGUGCCAGCAGCCGCGGUAAUACGUAGGGUGCGAGCGUUAAUCGGAAUUACUGGGCGUAAAGCGUGCGCAGGCGGUUUUGUAAGACAGGCGUGAAAUCCCCGGGCUCAACCUGGGAACUGCGUUUGUGACUGCAAGGCUAGAGUACGGCAGAGGGGGGUGGAAUUCCACGUGUAGCAGUGAAAUGCGUAGAGAUGUGGAGGAACACCAAUGGCGAAGGCAGCCCCCUGGGUCGAUACUGACGCUCAUGCACGAAAGCGUGGGUAGCAGACAGGAUUAGAUACCCUGGUAGUCCACGCCCUAAACGAUGUCAACUAGGUGUUGGGUGGGUAAAACCAUUUAGUACCGGAGCUAACGCGUGAAGUUGACCGCCUGGGGAGUACGGCCGCAAGGUUAAAACUCAAAGGAAUUGACGGGGACCCGCACAAGCGGUGGAUGAUGUGGAUUAAUUCGAUGCAACGCGAAAAACCUUACCUACCCUUGACAUGUCCAGAAGCCUGAAGAGAUUUGGGUGUGCCCGAAAGGGAACUGGAACACAGGUGCUGCAUGGCUGUCGUCAGCUCGUGUCGUGAGAUGUUGGGUUAAGUCCCGCAACGAGCGCAACCCUUGUCGUUAAUUGCCAUCAUUCAGUUGGGCACUUUAACGAGACUGCCGGUGACAAACCGGAGGAAGGUGGGGAUGACGUCAAGUCCUCAUGGCCCUUAUGGGUAGGGCUUCACACGUCAUACAAUGGUCGGUACAAAGGGUUGCCAAGCCGCGAGGUGGAGCCAAUCCCAGAAAGCCGAUCGUAGUCCGGAUCGUAGGCUGCAACUUGCCUGCGUGAAGUCGGAAUCGCUAGUAAUCGUGGAUCAGCAUGUCACGGUGAAUACGUUCCCGGGUCUUGUACACACCGCCCGUCACACCAUGGGAGCGGGCUCCGCCAGAAGUAGGUAGCCUAACCGCAAGGGGGGCGCUUACCACGGCGGGGUUCGUGACUGGGGUGAAGUCGUAACAAGGUAGCCGUAGGGGCCUGCGGCUG